ACAACGGCUCUUUUAAGAGCCACUUACUUAAUAAAACUUUGCAU
rnacentral:ncRNA from 1 species